AGUGAACGCUGGCGGUCGGCCUAACACAUGCAAGUCGAACGGCAGCACAGAGGAUCUUGCUCCAUGGGUGGCGAGUGGCGGACGGGGGAGGAAUACAUCGGAAUCUACUCUGUCGUGGGGGAUAACGUAGGGAAACUUACGCUAAUACCGCAUACGACCUACGGGUGAAAGCAGGGGAUCUUCGGACCUUGCGCGAUUGAAUGAGCCGAUGUCGGAUUAGGUAGUUGGCGGGGUAAAGGCCCACCAAGGCGACGAUCCGUAGCUGGUCUGAGAGGAUGAUCAGCCACACUGGAACUGAGACACGGUCCAGGCUCCUACGGGAGGAAGCAGUGGGGAAUAUUGGACAAUGGGCGCAAGCCUGAUCCAGCCAUACCGCGUGGGUGAAGAAGGCCUUCGGGUUGUAAAGCCCUUUUGUUGGGAAGGAAAUCCAUAUGGUUAAUACCCGGGUGGGAUGACGGUACCCAAAGAAUAAGCACCGGCUAACUCCGUGCCAGCCGCCGCGGUAA
rnacentral:rRNA from 1 species